GAAACGGGGUCUAAUACCGGAUACUGAUCCUCGCAGGCAUCUGYGAGGUUCGAAAGCUCCGGCGGUGCAGGAUGAGCCCGCGGCCUAUCAGCUUGUUGGUGAGGUAAUGGCUCACCAAGGCGACGACGGGUAGCCGGCCUGAGAGGGCGACCGGCCACACUGGGACUGAGACACGGCCCAGACUCCUACGGGAGGCAGCAGUGGGGAAUAUUGCACAAUGGGCGAAAGCCUGAUGCAGCGACGCCGCGUGAGGGAUGACGGCCUUCGGGUUGUAAACCUCUUUCAGCAGGGAAGAAGCGAAAGUGACGGUACCUGCAGAAGAAGCGCCGGCUAACUACGUGCC
rnacentral:rRNA from 1 species